GCAUCCGUGGCGGAAUAGGUAUACGCAACAGACUUAAAAUCUGUGACCGAUAGGUAUAAGGGUUCGAGUCCCUUCGGGUGCA
rnacentral:tRNA from 1 species